rnacentral:rRNA from 1 species
AGCUCUCAAAAUGCAUAGAAUUAUUGCUGCGGUUAAAAAGCUCGUAGUUGGAUCUGUGCCCCGCGGGCGGUUCUCCCCCACCGGGGAGCUACUGCUCCGCGGGGCUUUUGGCUGGUCUCAUUCGACUUCCCUUGUGGAGGUUGGGUUGGCUAGCGAGUUUACUUUGAACAAAUCAGAGUGCUCCACACAGGCGUCUCGCCUGAAUGUUCGUGCAUGGAAUAAUAGAAGAGGAUUUCGGUUCUAUUUUAUUGGUUUUAUAGACUGAGGUAAUGGUUAAUAGAGACAAACGGGGGCAUUCGUACCGCUGCGUGAGAGGUGAAAUUCUUGGACCGCAGCGAGACGCACGACAGCGAAAGCAUUUGCCAAGCAUGUCUUCA